rnacentral:rRNA from 1 species
UACGGAGGGAGCUAGCGUUGUUCGGAAUUACUGGGCGUAAAGCGCACGUAGGCGGCUUUGUAAGUUAGAGGUGAAAGCCCGGGGCUCAACUCCGGAAUUGCCUUUAAGACUGCAUCGCUUGAAUCCGGGAGAGGUGAGUGGAAUUCCGAGUGUAGAGGUGAAAUUCGUAGAUAUUCGGAAGAACACCAGUGGCGAAGGCGACUUACUGGACACAUAUUGACGCUGAGGUGCGAAAGCGUGGGGAGCAAACAGG